AGCCACGCAAUGUACACAUAGCGAACAAUUCUUUCGCCUUUUACUAGAAAAUACAUGUGUGCGUUGCAAAUAGUGGCAUACGCCAAUUUUUGGAGGGGUUCUCUUAACCAAGGAU
rnacentral:snRNA from 1 species